GAACUUUUCUGAGAACUUGAUGCUGCAGAACACCACAGCUGAAGAUACAGCUGUCCACAACAAAACUGGUAAACACUCUUUAUUUUCAGAUUUCUGAGGAACUUUACAAAUGUGUUUCAUGUCCUGUUAUUAUGGCCAUGAUAAUAGUACCACAAAUAGAUCUUGUGUCUGCUUUGCAAAAAGACACACUUUGCAGUUUGUGUAUUACUCUAUAGGCAUUGCAGACAUGGUAGUUGAGUUUUCUGAGAACAGUCUCUAUUUUAUCUUGUAUAAGAGUCUUUGCCAUCCAAUAUGUUUUGGAAUUGCCAACUGGUUUAGCAGACUGGUUUAGCUGGGAGCCUUUUUCACAGGCUUCAAUGAUGGCAACAAAAUCCCAGCAAGAAAAUCUGUUAUUCAAAGCAUGUCCACUCAAACUACUUGUUCAUUUCACCUCAAGUUGUGUAUCUGAAUGCCAGAGAAUAUUACUUAAAUCAUGUUUAUAGGUUUAAAACUUAUGAUAGCAGAAACUUCUUUUUGUGACCAGCAGUGGUUACAUCAUCACAUCCCAACGAGAGAAGCAGAGAUUGUACCCUACAGAACACAAGGGUGGUUGCUCUAACGUUGCCUAUAUCAGUGUGUUUGUUAAUGUAAUUGUUUGACUAAAGUGUUUAGUUUUGAAACUUUAAUAUGUAGUCCCAUGUCGUCCCAAAUAGUGUGCCUCAAACUGUGCUUCAUACAUUCAUGUCAUGAAAGUGUUGUCUCCCUCACCAGGUGGUUCCUACCUGGAUGAGAGAGCGAUGCAGUGGAUAUCUCCUCUGGAUGAGAGACUCCCUCUUCCUCACUGUUCGGAAGGAAGGAAGCACGAGACCUGAUUUUGUCCUGUGCAUGAAGAAGUUUAAUUUAGUUAUUAAAAUCUCACUAUGCUUUAUUUCAAAAGUCAGAUGUAUGACUUAGAUAGACUUUUCUAUAAAAUGUGAAAUCAGUUGAUUUGUUUAGCACACUUUUUGACCACUACGGCUGACAGUGAAGUACAUUUUUUAUACUAUCCUCAGUUUAUUUGGUGAGCACAGCAGUUAGGACUGGUGGUUAACAGCUGACCAGCCACCAGCAGACAGGAGAGACAAAGAGAGGGAAAAUAGCGGAGGAGGUGCAGAAGCAAAAGAAACAUCAACCAAAUUGAAGAAAACAACCCAAAGCAACCUCAAACCACAAACCACAACACAGUCUGAGCUUUGACAGUGUUACAGGACCUGCUAAGUGAGAAGAAGCAGAACAGUCAAGAACUUAAGAUCUAAGCCAUGUGUUUCUGUUACUUUCUGCAACUGUUAGGAAUGUCAAUGGACAUGUUUUACCACAUACUACCUUCAUUAUUGUAAAAGGUAAAGUUAUGUGGCCAGUGACGGUAAUAGUAGAAUUGUUGACUUCUGGGAGAAACUUUCAUUCAAACACGCAGGUGUGUUGGGAGGACACCAGCACAGUCAUGGUAGCCUGUUAACUUCUGGUUGUUGUUUAUGUUAGUUUAUACCUGACAAACACCAUAGUACCUUAAUCAGGGCAACACUGAUGUUAAGUGAAAGGUCACCUAUUUAACAGUCUGUAAUAGUGGUUGGGGACGCUGACAGUGUGAGCAGGAUCCUGGUGUGAAGUGUUAUUGAUAGUGCAGUCUGCUAUUAAGAAAGAAUACACAAUAGAUAUUGGCCAAUCACAAUCAGCAGUAUAAUUAUUAACAAAACAAAGCAAUAUAGAUAAAAAGUGAAACAGUUGGUAAACUAGAUCCUUGCACUUAUCAAACACUUGAUAACUCAUCUAGCAUCAGAGCUGCAUUACACUGAACUGACAAGGGAGGACAAGUGAGAGUAAUGUUAGGUCUGAUCUGAGCCAGUUUUUGAUAAGGCCAUAACCAAGUAACCCAUAUAUUUGAUAGAAUCACCUCAGCUGUGAUACAGAGUUUAGGUAUAAUGUUAUUUGUAAUUCUAAUUUUGACAUGG